rnacentral:rRNA from 1 species
AGACCCGAAACCCGGUGAUCUAGCCAUGGGCAGGUUGAAGGUUGGGUAACACUAACUGGAGGACCGAACCGACUAAUGUUGAAAAAUUAGCGGAUGACCUGUGGCUGGGGGUGAAAGGCCAAUCAAACCGGGAGAUAGCUGGUUCUCCCCGAAAGCUAUUUAGGUAGCGCCUCGUGAACUCAUCUCCGGGGGUAGAGCACUGUUUCGGCUAGGGGGCCAUCCCGGCUUACCAACCCGAUGCAAACUGCGAAUACCGGAGAAUGUUAUCACGGGAGACACACGGCGGGUGCUAACGUCCGUCGUGAAGAGGGAAACAACCCAGACCGCCAGCUAAGGUCCCAAAGUCAUGGUUAAGUGGGAAACGAUGUGGGAAGGCCCAGACAGCCAGGAUGUUGGCUUAGAAGCAGCCAUCAUUUAAAGAAAGCGUAAUAGCUCACUGGUCGAGUCGGCCUGCGCGGAAGAUGUAACGGGGCUAAACCAUGCACCGAAGCUGCGGCAGCGACACUUUAGUGUUGUUGGGUAGGGGAGCGUUCUGUAAGCCGUUGAAGGUGUCCUGUGAGGGGUGCUGGAGGUAUCAGAAGUGCGAAUGCUGACAUAAGUAACGAUAAAGCGGGUGAAAAGCCCGCUCGCCGGAAGACCAAGGGUUCCUGUCCAACGUUAAUCGGGGCAGGGUGAGUCGACCCCUAAGGCGAGGCCGAAAGGCGUAGUCGAUGGGAAACGGGUUAAUAUUCCCGUACUUGGUGUUACUGCGAAGGGGGGACGGAGAAGGCUAUGUUGGCCGGGCGACGGUAGUCCCGGUUUAAGCGUGUAGGUGUGUGUUCCAGGCAAAUCCGGUUCACUUUAACACUGAGGCGUGAUGACGAGGCACCACGGUGCUGAAGCAACAAAUGCCCUGCUUCCAGGAAAAGCCUCUAAGCAUCAGGUAACAUCAAAUCGUACCCCAAACCGACACAGGUGGUCAGGUAGAGAAUACCAAGGCGCUUGAGAGAACUCGGGUGAAGGAACUAGGCAAAAUGGUGCCGUAACUUCGGGAGAAGGCACGCUGACACGUAGGUGAAGUGAUUUACUCAUGGAGCUGAAGUCAGUCGAAGAUACCAGCUGGCUGCAACUGUUUAUUAAAAACACAGCACUGUGCAAACACGAAAGUGGACGUAUACGGUGUGACGCCUGCCCGGUGCCGGAAGGUUAAUUGAUGGGGUCAGCGCAAGCGAAGCUCCUGAUCGAAGCCCCGGUAAACGGCGGCCGUAACUAUAACGGUCCUAAGGUAGCGAAAUUCCUUGUCGGGUAAGUUCCGACCUGCACGAAUGGCGUAAUGAUGGCCAGGCUGUCUCCACCCGAGACUCAGUGAAAUUGAACUCGCUGUGAAGAUGCAGUGUACCCGCGGCAAGACGGAAAGACCCCGUGAACCUUUACUAUAGCUUGACACUGAACAUUGAGCCUUGAUGUGUAGGAUAGGUGGGAGGCUUUGAAGCGUGGACGCCAGUCUGCGUGGAGCCGACCUUGAAAUACCACCCUUUAAUGUUUGAUGUUCUAACGUGGACCCGUAAUCCGGGUUGCGGACAGUGUCUGGUGGGUAGUUUGACUGGGGCGGUCUCCUCCUAAAGAGUAACGGAGGAGCACGAAGGUUGGCUAAUCCUGGUCGGACAUCAGGAGGUUAGUGCAAUGGCAUAAGCCAGCUUGACUGCGAGCGUGACGGCGCGAGCAGGUGCGAAAGCAGGUCAUAGUGAUCCGGUGGUUCUGAAUGGAAGGGCCAUCGCUCAACGGAUAAAAGGUACUCCGGGGAUAACAGGCUGAUACCGCCCAAGAGUUCAUAUCGACGGCGGUGUUUGGCACCUCGAUGUCGGCUCAUCACAUCCUGGGGCUGAAGUAGGUCCCAAGGGUAUGGCUGUUCGCCAUUUAAAGUGGUACGCGAGCUGGGUUUAGAACGUCGUGAGACAGUUCGGUCCCUAUCUGCCGUGGGCGCUGGAAGACUGAGGGGGGCUGCUCCUAGUACGAGAGGACCGGAGUGGACGCAUCACUGGUGUUCGGGUUGUCAUGCCAAUGGCACUGCCCGGUAGCUAAAUGCGGAAAAG